rnacentral:hammerhead_ribozyme from 1 species
AUCCACCUGACGAGUCUCAAAUAGGACGAAAGUAGCGUCCUGGAU